CAUGCAGGCGGUUAUACAAGUAGGAUGUGAAAGCCUGGGGCUCAACCUCAGAACUGCAUUCUAAACUGUGUGACUAGAGUAUUGCAGGGGGGAGACGGAAUUUCAGGUGUAGCGGUGGAAUGCGUAGAUAUCUGAAAGAACACCAAAGGCGAAGGCAGUCUCCUGGGCAAAUACUGACGCUCAUAUGCGAAAGCGUGGGUAGCAAACA
rnacentral:rRNA from 1 species